rnacentral:rRNA from 1 species
CAGGACGAACGCUGGCGGCAUGCCUAACACAUGCAAGUCGAACGGACGAGGGUAGCAAUACCCGAGUAGUGGCGAACGGGUGAGUAACACGUGAGCAACCUGCCCUUUACACUGGGAUAGCAGUUGGAAACGACUGAUAAUACCGGAUAAGACCACGCUCCCGCAUGGGAGAGGGGUCAAAGUGAUUUAGCGGUGAAGGAUGGGCUCGCGUCCAAUUAGCUAGUUUGGUGAGGUAACGGCCCACCAAGGCGACGAUUGGUAGCCGACUUGAGAGAGUGGAUCGGCCACACUGGGAACUGAGACACGGUCCAGACUCCUACGGGAGGCAGCAGUGGGGAAUAUUGGGCAAUGGAGGAAACUCUUACCCAGGCCAAUGCCGCGUGAGGGAUGGAGGUCCUAUGGAUUGUAAACCUCUUUGAUUAGGGACAAAGAAAGUGAUGGUACCUAAAGAACAAGCCCCGGCUAACUAUGUGCCAGCCGCAGC